GGGCUGAAGUAAAGUCAUCUUGCUUGUUAGUGAUGUAAACCAACUUUAUCAGUUGAGUGGCCUACUGAUAAAGUAAUCUUGAAGCAUCUUUUGCUGGUGAUGUGAUAACUUUGUUGGUAGUGAGAUGACUUGAAACAAUUUUGCUGGGGAAGCAUCUGGCUAGUCUUCUUUUUGAUGGUUUGUCAUCUUGUCGGUAGAAUACUUUGUCGGUGGAGCAUCUAGUCGGUGAAGAAACAAGCUUUUGCUGAAGAAGUACCUUUUGCUGGAGGAGGUCAUCUUUGAGGAAGCAUUUUCCUAGAUGAGCUGGUAACUUCUGAUGGUGAAAUAUUUUGAAUGGAACA
rnacentral:lncRNA from 1 species